rnacentral:misc_RNA from 1 species
GCACUGAAAAACAACCUUUUGUCAACAAAAGAAUGGCACAAAUUUCCAUUGAUAAAGUAUAAGGUAACAGAUAGUCAGUAUCUAACUUGUUUUGUGUUUUUUUUAAAGGUAACUUAAUUACUUUUUUGUAGCAAAAUGUUUUAUAAUUAGAUUCAUUUUCAUGUUGUGAAGAAUACAACUUUCUACAUCAGAUGAAAUAUAUGUUAAAGAAAGCUUAAAAAUAAGAAUAACAAAUCAUACCGCUCUUCAUUGCCAGAACCUCCGCCACCUAUUAUGAAUAAGCCCAACGCUAAAAAGAUGCAAAAUGUUAUUCUCAACAAGCUUGCAGAAAUAAAAGUUCUUUUAAAAGAAGUUAUAGAAAUUAAGUUUCAGGCUACUGGGGUGAAGUUGCUAGAAUCAGUGGACGAAGUGGUUACAAUGGAUAAUAAACUAAAAGAUAAAACCGACUUGAUAGUUUGAAAAAGAUUGGUGGUGGAAAGCCUAGAGAACAUGUUUUUUUGAUCAUGAAAAGGUUAUUUUCGAAUCAGUUACAGUCCAAAUUUAAUCGAAAAGGAAAUGGGGAAAAGAUAAGCUUAGAAAAUAUAGUAAAUAUAUGAAGUGUUUUACGAGAUAUCGGCGACAUGGAAGAAAAUGUUGACGGCAAUGCAGAAAUAUAGUUUCUUAUGUAUAUUUUUGUGAAAUAAAAAUUAAGUAGUG